AUGACGGAUUCGAAGCUGCCCGACAUUCAGUCCGGUUACGAAAAGGGCAUCACUGACGUGAUGGCCGGCCUUGCCGGCCUCAACCUUGUCUAUGAAUCGG
rnacentral:ncRNA from 1 species